CCUACGGGAGGCUGCAGUGGGGAAUAUUGGACAAUGGGCGAAAGCCUGAUCCAGCCAUGCCGCGUGUGUGAAGAAGGCCUUCGGGUUGUAAAGCACUUUCAGUGGGGAAGAAAGCCUUGGGGCUAAUACCCUCGAGGAAGGACAUCACCCACAGAAGAAGCACCGGCUAACUCCGUGCCAGCAGCCGCGGUAAUACGGAGGGUGCGAGCGUUAAUCGGAAUUACUGGGCGUAAAGCGCGCGUAGGCGGUCUGAUAAGCCGGUUGUGAAAGCCCCGGGCUCAACCUGGGAACGGCAUCCGGAACUGUCAGGCUAGAGUGCAGGAGAGGAAGGUAGAAUUCCCGGUGUAGCGGUGAAAUGCGUAGAGAUCGGGAGGAAUACCAGUGGCGAAGGCGGCCUUCUGGACUGAAACUGACGCUGAGGUGCGAAAGCGUGGGUAGCAAACAGGAUUAGAUACCCUGGUAGUC
rnacentral:rRNA from 1 species